GACGAACGCUGGCGGCGUGCUUAACACAUGCAAGUCGAACGAUGAAGCCAGCUUGCUGGUGGAUUAGUGGCGAACGGGUGAGUAACACGUGGGUGAUCUGCCCCAAACUUUGGGAUAAGCCUGGGAAACUGGGUCUAAUACCGAAUAUGACCACUGGAUGCAUGUCUGGUGGUGGAAAGCUCCGGCGGUUUGGGAUGGGCCCGCGGCCUAUCAGCUUGUUGGUGGGGUAAUGGCCUACCAAGGCGACGACGGGUAGCCGGCCUGAGAGGGCGACCGGCCACACUGGGACUGAGACACGGCCCAGACUCCUACGGGAGGCAGCAGUGGGGAAUAUUGCACAAUGGGCGCAAGCCUGAUGCAGCGACGCCGCGUGAGGGAUGACGGCCUUCGGGUUGUAAACCUCUUUCACCAGGGACGAAGCGAAAGUGACGGUACCUGGAGAAGAAGCACCGGCCAACUACGUGCCAGCCGCCGCAGUAAAAC
rnacentral:rRNA from 1 species